GAUCCGGUGGCAUAGUGGUUAGAGCGUCCGCCUCAAAUGCGGGAGGUCGUGGGUUCGAUCCCCGGUCGAGUCA